UUUAAAGAGAGUUUGAUCCUGGCUCAGGACGAACGCUGGCGGCGUGCCUAAUACAUGCAAGUCGAACGAACGGAGGAAGAGCUUGCUCUUCCAAAGUUAGUGGCGGACGGGUGAGUAACACGUGGGCAACCUGCCUGUAAGUUGGGGAUAACUCCGGGAAACCGGGGCUAAUACCGAAUGAUAAAGUGUGGCGCAUGCCAUGCUUUUGAAAGAUGGUUUCGGCUAUCGCUUACAGAUGGGCCCGCGGUGCAUUAGCUAGUUGGUAGGGUAAUGGCCUACCAAGGCAACGAUGCAUAGCCGACCUGAGAGGGUGAUCGGCCACACUGGGACUGAGACACGGCCCAGACUCCUACGGGAGGCAGCAGUAGGGAAUCUUCCGCAAUGGACGAAAGUCUGACGGAGCAACGCCGCGUGUAUGAAGAAGGUUUUCG
rnacentral:rRNA from 1 species